rnacentral:rRNA from 1 species
GCUAGCGGCGAUAGUACGUUGGAUGCACCAGUUUCCGACGGAUCACUGAAGUUAAGCUACAUUGCACAUGGCAGGUAUCCAGAUGGGACACCAUCUGGGCAAUCGCGUGCUGGGCAAACA